CCUACGGGUGGCAGCAGUGAGGAAUAUUGGUCAAUGGCCGGAAGGCUGAACCAGCCAAGCCGCGUGAAGGACGAAGGUGCCAAGAAUUGUAAACGUCUUUUGUCAAGGGACAAAAUCAGGCGCGAGAGCCGGACCGAGGGUACUUGAAGAAAAAGCAUCGGCUAACUCCGUGCCAGCAGCCGCGGUAAUACGGAGGAUGCGAGCGUUAUCCGGAUUUAUUGGGUUUAAAGGGAUCGUAGAGGGGUUGGUAAGUCAGUUGUGAAAGUUUGCGGCUCCACCGUAAAAUUGCAAUUGAUACUGGCAGUCUUGCGUACAGUUGAGGUAGGCGGACUUCGUGGUGUAGCGGU
rnacentral:rRNA from 1 species